rnacentral:rRNA from 1 species
AGUGAACGCUGGCGGUAGGCCUAACACAUGCGAGUCGAACGGCAGCACAGUAAGAGCUUGCUCUUACGGGUGGCGAGUGGCGGACGGGUGAGGAAUACAUCGGAAUCUACUUUUUCGUGGGGGAUAACGUAGGGAAACUUACGCUAAUACCGCAUACGACCUACGGGUGAAGGCAGGGGAUCUUCGGACCUUGUGCGAUUGAAUGAGCCGAUGUCGGAUUAGCUAGUUGGCGGGGUAAAGGCCCACCAAGGCGGCGAUCCGUAGCUGGUCUGGGAGGCUGAUCGGCCACACUAGAACUGGGACACGGUCCAGACUCCUACGGGAGGGUGCAGUGGGGAAUGUUGGACAAUGGGCGCAAGCCUGAUCCAGCCAUACCGCGUGGGUGAAGGAGGCCUUCGGGUUGUGAAGCCCUUUUGUUGGGAAAGAAAAGCAGCAGGUUAAUACCCCGCUGUUCUGACGGUACCCAAAGAAUAAGCACCGGCUAACUUCGUG